CCUACGGGUGACAGCAGUCGAGAAUCAUUCACAAUGGGGGAAACCCUGAUGGUGCGACGCCGCGUGGGGGAAUGAAGGUCUUCGGAUUGUAAACCCCUGUCAUGUGGGAGCAAAUUAAAAAGAUAGUACCACAAGAGGAAGAGACGGCUAACUCUGUGCCAGCAGCCGCGGUAAUACAGAGGUCUCAAGCGUUGUUCGGAAUCACUGGGCGUAAAGCGUGCGUAGGCUGUUUCGUAAGUCGUGUGUGAAAGGCGCGGGCUCAACCCGCGGACGGCACAUGAUACUGCGAGACUAGAGUAGUGGAGGGGGAACCGGAAUUCUCGGUGUAGCAGUGAAAUGCGUAGAUAUCGAGAGGAACACUCGUGGCGAAGGCGGGUUCCUGGACAUUAACUGACGCUGAGGCACGAAGGCCAGGGGAGCGAAAGGGAUUAGAUACCCCUGUAGUC
rnacentral:rRNA from 1 species